CGAACGCUGGCGGCGUGCUUAAUACAUGCAAGUCGAACGAGAACGAUGAUCUAAGCUUGCUUAGUGAAUCUAGUAAAGUGGCGAACGGGUGAGUAACACGUGGACAAUCUACCCUUGAGUUCGGGAUAAUCCUUCGAAAGAGGGUCUAAUACCGGAUAAUAUUCCUUUUCGGCAUCGUGAAGGAAUCAAAGGCGGGGCAACCUGUCACUUGGGGAUGAGUCCGCGGUCCAUUAGCUUGUUGGUGAGGUAACGGCUCACCAAGGCUGCGAUGGAUAGCCGGCCUGAGAGGGCGAUCGGCCACACUGGGACUGAGAUACGGCCCAGACUCCUACGGGAGGCAGCAGUAGGGAAUAUUGCGCAAUGGACGCAAGUCUGACGCAGCAACGCCGCGUGGGUGAUGAAGCUCUUUGGAGUGUAAAACCCUGUCAGUGGGGAAGAAACGUAAGAGAAUUAACUGUCUCUUACCUGACGGUACCCGCAGAGGAAGUCCCGGCUAACUCC
rnacentral:rRNA from 1 species